rnacentral:rRNA from 1 species
UACAGAGGUCUCAAGCGUUGUUCGGAUUCAUUGGGCGUAAAGGGUGCGUAGGCGGCGCGGUAAGUCGGGUGUGAAAUCUCGGAGCUUAACUCCGAAACUGCAUUCGACUACUGCCGUGCUAGAGGACUGGAGAGGAGACUGGAAUUUACGGUGUAGCGGUGAAAUGCGUAGAUAUCGUAAGGAAGACCAGUGGCGAAGGCGGGUCUCUGGACAGUUCCUGACGCUGAGGCACGAAGGCCAGGGGAGCAAACGGGG